GAUGAACGCUGGCGGCGUGCCUAAUACAUGCAAGUCGAGCGAACGGACGAGAAGCUUGCUUCUCUGAUGUUAGCGGCGGACGGGUGAGUAACACGUGGAUAACCUACCUAUAAGACUGGGAUAACUUCGGGAAACCGUAGCUAAUACCGGAUAAUAUUUUGAACCGCAUGGUUCAAAAGUGAAAGACGGUCUUGCUGUCACUUAUAGAUGGAUCCGCGCUGCAUUAGCUAGUUGGUAAGGUAACGGCUUACCAAGGCAACGAUGCAUAGCCGACCUGAGAGGGUGAUCGGCCACACUGGAACUGAGACACGGUCCAGACUCCUACGGGGGGCAGCAGUAGGGAAUCUUCCGCAAAGGGCGAAAGCCUGACGGAGCAACGCCGCGUGAGUGAUGAAGGUCUUCGGAUCGUAAAACUCUGUUAUUAGGGAAGAACAUAUGUGUAAGUAACUGUGCACAUCUUGACGGUACCUAAUCAGAAAGCCACGGCUAACUACGUG
rnacentral:rRNA from 1 species